GGGAGUGAAAUAGAACCUGAAACCCUGCACUUACAAGCUGUGGAAGCACAUUUCUUGUGUGACCGCGUACUUUUUGUAGAACGGGCCAACGAGUUACGUUAAGUAGCAAGGUUAAGCACGUAAGGUGUGGAGCCGUAGCGAAAACGAGUUUUAACUGAGCGUUCAGUUACUUGACGUAGACCCGACACCGGGCGACCUACCCAUGAGCAGGAUGAAGCGAAAGUAAAAUUUCGUGGAGGUCCGAACC
rnacentral:rRNA from 1 species